rnacentral:hammerhead_ribozyme from 1 species
AUCCAGCUGAUGAGUCUCAAAUAGGACGAAACGCUGUUCAUGGAU